CGCACUUUGGGGAAAGCGGAGCUGGACCCCGCCCCACACGGCUGCCUGCUCCUCCGCUGUGCGUGCGAGGGACGUCGGGGGCGGCGCCGCUGCAGUUGCCCCUGGUAACGGGGGUGGCAGCAAGAGGAGGAGGAGGAGGAGGGACUCGGCGGGAGGAUGGGCUUGCUCUCAAUUUUGCGCAAAUUGAAAAGUGCACCAGACCAGGAGGUCAGAAUCCUUCUCCUGGGCUUGGACAAUGCCGGGAAGACCACUCUUCUGAAGCAGCUUGCGUCUGAGGACAUCAGCCACAUCACCCCCACGCAGGGUUUUAACAUCAAAAGUGUACAGUCACAAGGUUUUAAAUUGAAUGUUUGGGACAUUGGUGGACAAAGGAAAAUCAGACCUUACUGGAGGAAUUAUUUUGAAAAUACUGAUGUUCUUAUAUAUGUAAUUGACAGUGCAGACAGAAAAAGAUUUGAAGAGACGGGUCAGGAACUAGCUGAAUUACUGGAGGAAGAAAAGCUAAGCUGUGUGCCGGUGCUCAUCUUCGCUAACAAGCAGGACUUGCUCACGGCAGCCCCUGCCUCGGAAAUUGCAGAAGGACUGAACCUGCACACCAUUCGAGACCGCGUCUGGCAGAUCCAGUCCUGCUCAGCUCUCACAGGAGAGGGCAUUCAGGUCUGUAGCUGGGAGAACUUUGCCACUCUACCCCUCCCAGACAUCUGGAGAAAGACUGCCCCCCAGCUAGGCUCCUCCCACUGAAGUCCCCUUCCUGCCUCCACAACCAACACCCAGGAGAAAGCCACCCCUUGCCCUCCACCCCCUGCUCCCGGAUCUUGCAGCUGGGACGGCAUGAACUGGGUCUGCAAAAAUGUCAAUGCAAAGAAGAAAUAGAAUCUAGAGCAAUGGAGACACAGAAGAUGCAGGAACUGAAUUCUGUCCCGAAAACCACUAAUUUGCUGCUUUCUGACCAAAUGUUUUUCCAUCAGUGUACGACUACAGCUGUUUGAAGAGAGGGAACAACACAGUUUAAAAAGAAUCCCCAUUCCAGCAGUAGAUUUAACUGAUCUCUGAGGUUCAGUAUCAUUUUUCAAAUAAAGGAAUUAUAUUAUUUCCUCUGCAUAA